UACGUAGGGGCAAGCGUUGUCCGGAAUCAUUGGGCGUAAAGCGCGUGUAGGCGGCUAGGUAAGUCUGCUCUGAAAGCCCGGGGCUCAACCCCGGGAGGCGGGUGGAUACUGGCUCGCUAGAGUGCGGUAGAGGAGAGUGGAAUUCCCGGUGUAGCAGUGAAAUGCGUAGAGAUCGGGAGGAACAUCAGUUGCGAAGGCGGCUCUCUGGACCAGCACUGACACUGAGGCACGAAAGCGUGGGGAGCAAACAGG
rnacentral:rRNA from 1 species